rnacentral:rRNA from 1 species
UACGAAGGGGGCUAGCGUUGCUCGGAAUUACUGGGCGUAAAGGGCGCGUAGGCGGAUAUUUAAGUCGGGGGUGAAAGCCCAGGGCUCAACCCUGGAAUAGCCUUCGAUACUGGAUAUCUUGAGUUCGGGAGAGGUGAGUGGAACUCCGAGUGUAGAGGUGAAAUUCGUAGAUAUUCGGAAGAACACCAGUGGCGAAGGCGACUCACUGGCCCGAUACUGACGCUGAGGCGCGAAAGCGUGGGGAGCAAACAGG